rnacentral:rRNA from 1 species
AGUGAACGCUGGCGGUAGGCCUAACACAUGCAAGUCGAACGGCAGCACAGUAAGAGCUUGCUCUUACGGGUGGCGAGUGGCGGACGGGUGAGGAAUACAUCGGAAUCUACUUUUUCGUGGGGGAUAACGUAGGGAAACUUACGCUAAUACCGCAUACGACCUACGGGUGAAAGCAGGGGAUCUUCGGACCUUGCGCGAUUGAAUGAGCCGAUGUCGGAUUAGCUAGUUGGCGGGGUAAAGGCCCACCAAGGCGACGAUCCGUAGCUGGUCUGAGAGGAUGAUCAGGCACACUGGAACUGAGACACGGUCCAGAAUCAGACGGGAGGCAGCAGGGGGGAAUAUGGGAAAAGGGGCGCAAGCCUGAUCCAGCCAUACAGCGUGGGUGAAGAAGGCCUUCGGGUGGGAAAGCACAUUUGUUGGGAAAGAAAAGCAGAAGGUGAAUACCCCGAUGUUCUGACGGGACCCAAAGAAUAAGCAACGGCUAAAUUCGUG